GAGAAUUGGCAAAGGUUGGAGGGGUCCACCAGGACACUGUUGUUCUACUUUACCUAUAAAUAAGUAAGGUAUUUGGAAACAUACUCAGCAAUGUCUUUUUUUUCAUGCCAUUCCGCCAAAAUCGGGGUCUAAAAUUUUGAUAUAUUUUAGUAGCACACGGAUGCAUGACAAAUUUGGAGCAAUGAGCCUCAAUCAAAAUGCCUUUUUUUAGUUC
rnacentral:lncRNA from 1 species